rnacentral:rRNA from 1 species
CCAGAGAACUUAGCAGAGAUGCUUUGGUGCCUUCGGGAACUCUGAGACAGGUGCUGCAUGGCUGUCGUCAGCUCGUGUUGUGAAAUGUUGGUUAAGUCCCGCAACGAGCGCAACCCUUAUCCUUUGUUGCCAGCGGCUCGGCCGGGAACUCAAAGGAGACUGCCGGUGAUAAACCGGAGGAAGGUGGGGAUGACGUCAAGUCAUCAUGGCCCUUACGGCCAGGGCUACACACGUGCUACAAUGGCGCAUACAAAGAGAAGCGACCUCGCGAGAGCAAGCGGACCUCAUAAAGUGCGUCGUAGUCCGGAUUGGAGUCUGCAACUCGACUCCAUGAAGUCGGAAUCGCUAGUAAUCGUAGAUCAGAAUGCUACGGUGAAUACGUUCCCGGGCCUUGUACACACCGCCCGUCACACCAUGGGAGUGGGUUGCAAAAGAAGUAGGUAGCUUAACCUUCGGGAGGGCGCUUACCACUUUGUGAUUCAUGACUGGGGUGAAGUCGUAACAAGGUAGGCGUAGCGAG